GGGCAGAUGGAGACACCCAGGAGAAAGAAGAGGGCGAAUUGGAAGAGGCCACCCAGAAAGAACGGUGGGUGACACUAGGGAGCCAAGCAUGGAGAGCCGAGGACUAACGCUUGGAAGGAAAUGUGGACCAGAAGGUUCCGGAUGAGGGAAGGACAGGCGGCUACACUCUGCCUUCUGAGACAAAGAGGAAUAAUCUCACUUCCAGUCAGUUCAACCCUUGUAAAACAGCUACUGUGUGCAAGACACGGAGGGAAAGCUGAAGUAGAGAAACCACAGACGCUGUCUUCAAAGUGUUUAAUCUAAUAUUAGUGAUGAGAAAAAUAGGGUGCACAGCUUAAGGCAUCCUGGAAAAACGUAUGUAGCGCCACAUCGCAAAAAUCUCUCUUCUGGGACCCCUCUCCCAAAACCGUUUCUUCGCCCUCUUCUCUCCCCUCUGCCUCCACUCUUUCUGGACUUCAGAUAUCUUUGAGAAGCCUGGACAUCAAUCUGCUUUAGAAGACUAGAAACUCUGCCUUUAUGUCCUUAAGGGAACAAUAGUCCUUAACUUUGAUACUGUGGCUCUUUAGCUCUUUUUUUCCCUAUUUUUUUACACAGUUUUUUGGUAUUAUUUAGACCUCCUUUACCCCAAGGUCAUAAAGGUAUUCUCCCAUCAUUUUUUCCUAUCUAUUAGCUUCAUAGUUUUACUUUUUUACAUUCAGUUAUCUAAUCCAUCUGGAGUUCUCCUUCCCAUAUGGUGUGAGAUAGGGAUCUAACUAUAUUUUUCUCCAUGGGAUGAGCAAAUUUUCCAACAACCCA
rnacentral:antisense_RNA from 1 species